UACAGAGGGUGCAAGCGUUGUUCGGAAUCAUUGGGCGUAAAGGGCGUGUAGGCGGUCUGUUAAGUCAUGUGUGAAAUCCCUCGGCUCAACCGGGGAACGACGCAUGAAACUGACAAGCUAGAGUACCAAAGAGGGGGGUGGAAUUCCAGGUGUAGCAGUGAAAUGCGUAGAGAUCUGGAGGAACACCGAUGGCGAAGGCAGCCCCCUGGGCUAACACUGACGCUCAUGCACGAAAGCGUGGGUAGCAAACGGG
rnacentral:rRNA from 1 species